rnacentral:rRNA from 1 species
UACGGGGGGGGCAAGCGUUGUUCGGAAUUACUGGGCGUAAAGGGCCAGUAGGCGGCCAACUAAGUCGGAUGUGAAAUCCCCAGGCUCAACUUGGGAACUGCAUCCGAUACUGGAUGGCUUGAAUUCGGGAGAGGGAUGCAGAAUUCCGGGUGUAGCGGUGAAAUGCGUAGAUAUCUGGAGGAAUACCGGUGGCGAAGGCGGCAUCCUGGACCGACAUUGACGCUGAACGGCGAAAGCUAGGGGAGCAAACGGG